UACGAAGGGGGCUAGCGUUGCUCGGAAUUACUGGGCGUAAAGCGCACGUAGGCGGGUUCUUAAGUCGGUGGUGAAAUCCUGGAGCUCAACUCCAGAACUGCCUUUGAUACUGCGGGUCUUGAGUCCGAUAGAGGUGGGUGGAAUUCCUAGUGUAGAGGUGAAAUUCGUAGAUAUUGGGAAGAACACCGGUGGCGAAGGCGGCGACCUGGUCCUUUUACUGACGCUGAGGCGCGAAAGCGUGGGGAGCAAACAGG
rnacentral:rRNA from 1 species